rnacentral:rRNA from 1 species
GAUGAACGCUGGCGGCGUGCCUAAUACAUGCAAGUCGAGCGAACAGACGAGAAGCUUGCUUCUCUGAUGUUAGCGGCGGACGGGUGAGUAACACGUGGAUAACCUACCUAUAAGACUGGGAUAACUUCGGGAAACCGUAGCUAAUACCGGAUAAUAUUUUGAACCGCAUGGUUCAAUAGUGAAAGACGGUCUUGCUGUCACUUAUAGAUGGAUCCGCGCUGCAUUAGCUAGUUGGUAAGGUAACGGCUUACCAAGGCAACGAUGCAUAGCCGACCUGAGAGGGUGAUCGGCCACACUGGAACUGAGACACGGUCCAGACUCCUACGGGAGGCAGCAGUAGGGAAUCUUCCGCAAUGGGCGAAAGCCUGACGGAGCAACGCCGCGUGAGUGAUGAAGGUCUUCGGAUCGUAAAACUCUGUUAUUAGGGAAGAACAUAUGUGUAAGUAACUGUGCACAUCUUGACGGUACCUAAUCAGAAAGCCACGGCUAACUACGUG